UACGUAGGGGGCAAGCGUUAUCCGGAUUUACUGGGUGUAAAGGGAGCGUAGACGGCUAAUCAAGUCAGAAGUGAAAACCCGGGGCUCAACCCCGGGACUGCAUUGGAAACUGCCGAACUAGAGUGUCGGAGAGGCAAGUGGAAUUCCUAGUGUAGCGGUGAAAUGCGUAGAUAUUAGGAGGAACACCAGUGGCGAAGGCGGCUUGCUGGACGAUGACUGACGUUGAGGCUCGAAAGCGUGGGGAGCAAAAAGG
rnacentral:rRNA from 1 species